GACGAACGCUGGCGGCGUGCUUAACACAUGCAAGUCGAGCGGAAAGGCCCUUUCGGGGGUACUCGAGCGGCGAACGGGUGAGUAACACGUGAGUAAUCUGCCCUUCACUUGGGGAUAACCUCCGGAAACGGUGGCUAAUACCCGAUACGACCAUUCCUCGCAUGAGGUGAUGGUGGAAAGUUUUUCGGUGGGGGAUGUGCUCGCGGCCUAUCAGCUUGUUGGUGGGGUAAUGGCCUACCAAGGCUUCGACGGGUAGCCGGCCUGAGAGGGUGACCGGCCACACUGGGACUGAGACACGGCCCAGACUCCUACGGGAGGCAGCAGUGGGGAAUAUUGGACAAUGGGCGGAAGCCUGAUCCAGCAACGCCGCGUGAGGGAUGACGGCCUUCGGGUUGUAAACCUCUUUCACCUGUGACGAAGCGAAAGUGACGGUAGCAGGAGAAGAAGCACCGGCCAACUACGUG
rnacentral:rRNA from 1 species